rnacentral:rRNA from 1 species
UACGUAGGGGGCCAGCGUUGCUCGGAAUUACUGGGCGUAAAGGGUUCGUAGGCGGUGCGGCAAGUUGGGAGUGAAAUCUCUGGGCUUAACUCAGGGGCUGCUUUCAAAACUGCCGCGCUCGAGUGCGAGAGAGGUCAGUGGAAUUGCAGGUGUAGCGGUGAAAUGCGCAGAUAUCAGGAGGAACACCGGUGGCGAAGGCGGGUCUCUGGGCCGAUACUGACGCUGAGGAGCGAAAGCGUGGGGAGCGAACAGG